AGGGGUUUAAUUUAAUGAUGGAACACUUGCCUAUUAUGCAUGAGGCCCUGGGUUCGAUCCCUGGCACCUCUA
rnacentral:tRNA from 1 species